rnacentral:rRNA from 1 species
UUACCAUGCAGUCGAACGAGACGGGUAUACUUGCAUAACUGUCACUAAUGGCGCACGGGUGAGUAUAUAUAGGUAUGUGCCUUAGAAAGAGAUAGGGUUGGAACGACUUGUAAUGCUCUAUAUGCCCUUAAUACAAAAGUAUGCAGGGGAAAUAUUAUAGCUCUAAGAUCGGCCUGUACGGUAUCAGCUUGUUGGUGAGGUAAUGGCUCACCAAGGCUAUGACGCCUAACUGGUUUGAGAGGAUGAUCAGUCACACUGGAACUGAGACACGGUCCAGACUCCUACGGGAGGCAGCAGUGGGGAAUAUUGCACAAUGGACGAAAGUCUGAUGCAGCAACGCCGCGUGGAGGAUGACACAUUUCGGUGCGUAAACUCCUUUUAUAUGAGAAGAAAAUGACGGUAUCAUAUGAAUAAGCGCCGGCUAACUCCGUGCCAGCAGCCGCGGUAAUACGGAGGGCGCAAGCGUUACUCGGAAUCACUGGGCGUAAAGAGCGUGUAGGCGGGUAUUUAAGUUGGAAGUGAAAUCCUAUGGCUCAACCAUAGAACUGCUUCCAAAACUGAAUACCUAGAAUAUGGGAGAGGUAGAUGGAAUUUCUGGUGUAGGGGUAAAAUCCGUAGAGAUCAGAAGGAAUACCGAUUGCGCAGGCGAUCUACUGGAACAUUAUUGACGCUGAGACGCGAAAGCGUGGGGAGCAAACAGGAUUAGAUACCCUGGUAGUCCACGCCCUAAACGAUGUACAUUAGUUGUUGCGAUGCUAGACAUUGCAGUAAUGCAGUUAACACAUUAAAUGUACCGCCUGGGGAGUACGGUCGCAAGAUUAAAACUCAAAGGAAUAGACGGGGACCCGCACAAGCGGUGGAGCAUGUGGUUUAAUUCGACGAUACGCGAAGAACCUUACCUGGCCUUGACAUAGAAAGAAUUUAGCAGAGAUGUAAAAGUGCUAGUUUACUAGAGCUUUCAUACAGGUGCUGCACGGCUGUCGUCAGCUCGUGUCGUGAGAUGUUAGGUUAAGUCCUGCAACGAGCGCAACCAUCGUGUUUAGUUACUAACAGUUCGGCUGAGGACUCUAGACAUACUGCAUGGGCAACCAGGAGGAAGGUGAGGACGACGUCAAGUCAUCAUGGCCAUUACGGCCAGGGCUACACACGUGCUACAAUGGGGUAUACAAAGAGCCGCAAUCCCGCGAGGUGGAGCAAAUCUCAUAAAAUAUCUCCCAGUUCGGAUUACACUCUGCAACUCGAGUGUAUGAAGUUGGUAUCGCUAGUAAGUCUAGAUCAGCAAU